AAAAUUCUGUGUAGUGGAACAGAGACAGUUUUUGCUAUGAAAUAUAUCACUGUGUUUGGGUGGAUAGGGUAUCACAAUGAUAUAAACAGCAGAGGGACCUGUACAAAAAGAGAAAGAGGGAAAAAAGUUUUGGAACUAAAGGUACCUCUGGAUCUCCUCAUAAACUUGCACCCAUGGAUAAUUAGGACUAAUGGCUUUUCAUUGCCUGUUUUUACAAAACUUUUGAAUACCAUGUGGAAAGAGUGGGUUAUUGGAAUAAGUCUUAGCAGUGUGGGAUAGAUAAGCUUCUAUUUGGACCAGGGACGACACUCACAGUUGUACCAAACACUCCAAAAACUUCUCUCCCUCAAGUCAUUGUGAUGAAAUCAAGGAAACUGAAAGAAGGUGGCAGCACUGGGAAAGCAGCUUGUUUGGCAAGGAACUUCCUUACAAAGAACAUCAGCUUGGAGAUGCCUGCUACAGA